rnacentral:lncRNA from 1 species
AACAGUUAUCCUCUUCCUCACAUGAACCAGCUCGUAUUUUUUGUUAUUAUACAUCUGGGAAACUGAAUUGUAUGGUUCUGUCCAUGCAGGACCCCAUCCUGAUACUGAUAACAUAAUGGAUCCAAAGCCUGUGGAGGGCGAAGAACAGGCCAAGAAACGUCGAGGCCGGAAGAAGAGUAAACUUGAAGACAUGUUUCCCGCAUAUCUCCAGGAGGCUUUCUUUGGCAAGACAUUAAUAGACUUGAGCAAGAAAGCUGUGAUGAUACCUCCGGGCCAGAGGCCAGGCGGAUGCCUUGUCCGACCUUCAUUACCAGCACCGACAGGGAUUAAAUCUGCUGGCUCAGAGACUGAAGCCAAGGAUCAGACGAUGGAAGGUAAUUUUCCUCUCAAGCAAGAAAGGGGUGAGGCCCCCCAGGCUCAGGGAGAUAGUACCGGUAGGUGUGCAUACCACAAAGCUGUCUAGUUAUCUAACACUUUCAAAUAAUUGUGAACAGAGUGGUCUUCAUUGUCUGUUUUAAUCUUAGCACC